UAAUGAAAAAGGCAAAUUUAUCGAAAGGUAAAGACGCAAAGCCAUGGGCCUAAACAGUUUUUUUAUACUGCAAUGGCUGCCAGGUUGCCAGG
rnacentral:ncRNA from 1 species